GCAAACGGGUGCGGAACACGUACGCAACUUCCUUUCAAGCGGGGAAGCCCAGAGAAAUUUGGAUUAAUACCCCAUAAGAAUGUGGAUUGGUAUCAAUCAGCAUAAAGAUUUAUCACUUGAAGAUGGGCGUGCGUCUGAUUAGGUAGUUGGUGAGGUAACGGCACCAAGCCGACGAUCAGUAACUGGCGUGAGAGCGCGACCAGUCACACGGGCACUGAGACGGGCCCGACUCCUACGGGAGGCAGCAGUAAGGAAUAUUGGUCAAUGGACGGAAGUCAACCAGCCAUGCCGCGUGGAGGAUGAAGGCCCUCUGGGUUGUAAACUUCUUUUAUUUGACGAAACACUUCUUUUCUAAGGAGCUUGACGGUACCAGAUGAAUAAGCACCGGCUAACCGUGCCAGCAGCCGCGGUAAUACGGAGGGUGCAAGCGUUAUCCGGAUUCACUGGGUUUAGGGUGCGUAGGCGGACAUGUAAGUCCGUGGUGAAAUCUCCGAGCUUAACUCGGAAACCCAUGGAUACUAUAUGUCUUGAAUGUUGUGGAGGUUAGCGGAAUAUGUCAUGUAGCGGAAAUGCAUAGAUAUGACAUAGAACACCAAUUGCGAAGGCAGCUGGCUACACAAAUAUUCGCUGAGGCACGAAAGCGUGGGGAUCAAACAGGAUUAGAUACCCUGGUAGUCCACGCCAAACGAUGAUUACUCGACAUACGCGAUACACAGUGUGUGUCUGAGCGAAAGCAUAAGU
rnacentral:rRNA from 1 species